GAUGAACGCUGGCGGCGUGCCUAAUACAUGCAAGUCGAGCGAACGGACGAGAAUCUUGCUUCUCUGAUGUUAGCGGCGGACGGGUGAGUAACACGUGUAUAACCUACCUAUAAGACUGGGAUAACUUCGGGAAACCGGAGCUAAUACCGGAUAAUAUUUUGAACCGCAUGGUUCAAAAGUGAAAUACGGUCUUGCUGUCACUUAUAGAUGGAUCCGCGCUGCAUUAGCUAGUUGGUAAGGUAACGGCUUACCAAGGCAACGAUGCAUAGCCGACCUGAGAGGGUGAUCGGCCACACUGGAACUGAGACACGGUCCAUACUCCUACGGGAGGCAGCAGUAGGGAAUCUUCCGCAAUGGGCGAAAGCCUGACGGAGCAACGCCGCGUGAGUGAUGACGGUCUUCGGAUCGUAAAACUCUGUUAUUAGGGAAGAACAUAUGUGUAAGUAACUGUGCACAUCUUGACGGUACCUAAUCAGAAAGCCACGGCUAACUACGUG
rnacentral:rRNA from 1 species